rnacentral:rRNA from 1 species
UACAGAGGGUGCGAGCGUUGUUCGGAAUUAUUGGGCGUAAAGGGCGCGUAGGCGGUGCCACAAGUCACCUGUGAAAUCCCCGGGCUUAACUCGGGGCCUGCAGGCGAAACUGUGGUGCUGGAGUAUGGGAGAGGUGCGUGGAAUUCCCGGUGUAGCGGUGAAAUGCGUAGAUAUCAGGAGGAACACCUGCGGUGUAGACAGCUUUCUGGACCACUUCUGACGCUGAGACACGAAAGCGUGGGUAGCAAACAGG